AUCUGAAAAAGGCAAGCCCGCGCGAAAGCCGGGUACGCAAAGUUACCGGUCUAAUCCGUGCUCGCACGGGAUGACAGCGGGACCGCCAGU
rnacentral:ncRNA from 1 species